CCGAAAGGCAGGAGUGCCUGCAAGGGAGCGCGGAGACAGGUGGUGCAUGGCUGUCGUCAGCUCGUGUCGUGAGAUGUUGGGUUAAGUCCCGCAACGAGCGCAACCCUCACCUCUUGUUGCCAUCAGGUCAUGCUGGGCACUCUAGAGGAACUGCCCCGGUCAACGGGGAGGAAGGCGGGGAUGACGUCAAGUCAUCAUGCCCCUUACGUCCUGGGCUACACACGUGCUACAAUGGCCGGUGCAAAGGGAUGCCACACCGCGAGGUAGAGCUAAACCCAAAAAGCCGGUCUAAGUUCGGAUUGGAGUCUGCAACUCGACUCCAUGAAGGAGGAAUCGCUAGUAAUCGCGUAUCAGCACGACGCGGUGAAUACGUUCCCGGGCCUUGUACACACCGCCCGUCACACCACGAAAGCCAG
rnacentral:rRNA from 1 species